rnacentral:rRNA from 1 species
GACGAACGCUGGCGGCGUGCUUAACACAUGCAAGUCGAACGGAAAGGCCCUGCUUUUGCGGGGUGCUCGAGUGGCGAACGGGUGUGUAACACGUGAGUAACCUGCCCUUGACUUUGGGAUAACUUUAGGAAACUGGGGCUAAUACCGGAUAGGAGAUCCUGCUGCAUGGUGGGGGUUGGAAAGUUUCGGCGGUUGGGGAUGGACUCGCGGCUUAUCAGCUUGUUUGUGGGGUAGUGGCUUACCAAGUGUUUGACGGCUAGGCGGCAUUAGAGGGGGACCGGCGACAAUGGGACUGAGAGAGGGCCCAGAAGCCAACGGGAGGCAGCAGUGGAAAGUAUUGCGGAGUGGGGGGAAGCGUGAUGCAGCAGCGCCGCGUGCGGGAUGACGUCCUUCGGGUUGUAAACCGAUUUCGCAUGUACCGAAGAGUGAGUGACGGUAAUGGAUAAGGAAGCACCGGCUAACUACGUG